rnacentral:misc_RNA from 1 species
CAUUAAUACGCGUCUCCUAACAUACUUGAUAACGACUAGCUGAAAAACAUUCUCGAAGAAGCAAAGAAUGAAUAAACUUGUUUCGAGAAGGAUGUCAAGAGGUUUCUCCCAAAAGACUGUGAAAGAUUGAAUGCUAAAGUUCCCUUUUCCGAUGAAGCGAAUCCUUGGUUUGGUAUUGAUAUGGAACAUUUGCUUCGUCGAUUCUAUCUAUAUUCCAAGGAAUCAAACGACCGAACCAAGCACUGAUACGAAUAUCAAAUCAAACCCUACAGUUCCUUCCAAUGGAAGUCAAACUAUUCCCACAGCCAAGACCGAGGAAAACCUAAAAACAAUUUGGCUGUCUCAUCACAUGACGACAGAAACACCAACUACAUUUUCUCCAACAACAAAUAUUGAUGAAGCAGAAAAAAAUACGUCGAACAGAGAGUUUAAAAUGAAGUACGAGCAGUACGUCGAACCCGGAAGAAAUGUGUCAAAGUUACUGGAUGCAGUGUUCGCACAGUACGACAAGAGAAUAAGACCAUUUUAUGAAGUUAAACCUCUAUCAGUUGGGCUCGAUAUUCUUAUUUUAUCAUUUGGAGAGCUCCGAGAGGCGAGUAUGGAGUACAGCGUAGACAUGUACCUGGGUCAGUUCUGGCAGGACCCUCGGCUCGCAUUUGGUCUGGACAGGAUCAUCAUUCUCGGAGGAGAAGCAUUUGAAAAGCUUUGGGUUCCUGACACUUUCUUUGUGAAUUCCAUUGAAAGCAAGAUACAGACUAUGAUGUUUACUAAUAAGAAGGUCUGGAUAAACUUGAAGAACGGCACCAUGAUGCUGAGUGCAAGGUUGGUCAGCAGAAAUUCUUGUAAGUUCGACUUGAGGAAUUAUCCAUUGGACGAGCAGACAUGCCAUCUUGCUUUCGAAAGUUUUUCUUAUUCAGAAAAGGAUCUCAAAUAUAGCUGGAGAAAUCAGUCUGUUGGCAGUGAUAUUGGGGUGUACGACAGAGAAAUGGCCCAGUUUGAUAUCAUCAGCGCAAAGCGAUACCUCAAACACGAAGUGUAUCACUCAGAUAUGUUUUCUGGUUUGACGGCAACCAUCGUCUUCAAGCGUCGUGCGUCUUACUACAUAUUCCAAAUGUAUAUCCCCUGUGUUUGUAUAACUGCCUUGUCAUGGGUUAGUUUUUGGAUUAACCAUGAAGCAAUCCCAGCACGAGUGGGCCUCAGCAUCACAACUGUUUUGACUAUUAGCUACAUGCGGGGAUCUGUGAAUGCGAACAUGCCUCGAGUGUCGUACCUCAAGAGCAUCGACUAUUUUCUGUUGGUUUCAUUUGUAUUUAUAUUUUUCACUCUUAUUGAAUAUGUACUGGUUUUGAAGUAUUCUCAAAAGGCAAAGGAUCUCGUCAAGAAAAACUCAUUGUUAUCAUCAGACGACGAAAUGGAAAAACAACCAAUGCUAGUAACUGUUUCGAUGGGAAAUAAGAGCUAUAACUUCAAGAGCUCCAUUCAAGACUUGGAGAACGGCAAUGGAAUCCCUCUCAAAGAAAGAUCCAGUAAGCUUCAAGUUUUUAAUCGCACCAAUCCUCUCUCAUUCAGGGGGAAAAUUGACAGUUGCCAACCACGGAAAGAAAAUGACAGCGAUGUUACAUCCUUGAUCCCAAAACCUCCUAAUGGCCCUCACCGUCUCGACCAGUAUUCCCGUUUUCUUUUUCCUCUGACGUACACCUUGUUCUUGACAGUUUAUUUUGUUUAUUAUACUAAAGCUUACGAUGAUAGGAAAUAAAAUAUGCUUUCGUUGGGUUCCAUAGAUUUAAUCAACGUUUCUCUGGAUUGCAAGAAACAUUAUUUAUGUUAUUUUUAGUACUUUAUUUAUCCUGAUCAUUGAAUAUGAUUUGUCCAACGCUUUACUGCGAUUUUCGAUAUUCUGCCAAACUUACUCAGUCGGUACCAUUUAUGUUCUCGACUGGCGGUAGUAAAAACCAAUUUCACAACAAGGUGCGGUUGAAGUCUUUGUGUUCACAGAAUAUCGAAAACCGCAGUAAUAACCUAAGAUAUGCGAACACAAUCAAAAACGUCGAUAACUGGCAGCCAUGAUUAAUGAAAAAACCAUCAAAUUUUAAUCCCAGGCUAGUGAUUCUAAUAUUCCUGUCAUCCAGCAUGGCCGCCGUCAUGUGAUGGAUCAGUCUUAAAAUCAUCGCCUUUGGUAAACUGAGUGCAAGGUCAGGUGAUGGUUAUAACUUCCUUUUGGAACGGGCAACAUUACGUUUACACUCCAUGGGAAUAGCAAUGCCUGUAAUGAUUUCACCCGGAAAUUUAAGUUUCU